GUGAGCGGGUGUUGCCCUAGUCCACGUUGUCAUUGAAACUCGUGACUAGAGUGACACUCGUCGACU
rnacentral:pre_miRNA from 1 species